rnacentral:rRNA from 1 species
GUCCUACGGGGGGCAGCAGUAGGGAAUUUUCGUCAAUGGGCGCAAGCCUGAACGAGCGAUGCCGCGUGAGUGAAGAAGGCCUUCGGGUCGUAAAGCUCUGUUGCGGGGGAAAAAAGGCAGCAUCAGGAAAUGGGUGCUGACUGAUGGUGCCCCGCCAGAAAGUCACGGCUAACUACGUGCCAGCAGCCGCGGUAAUACGUAGGUGGCGAGCGUUAUCCGGAUUUAUUGGGUGUAAAGGGUGCGUAGACGGGAAAUUAAGUUAGUUGUGAAAUCCCUCGGCUCAACUGAGGAACUGCAACUAAAAC